GACGAACGCUGGCGGCGUGCUUAACACAUGCAAGUCGAACGGAAAGGCCCCUUUGGGGGUACUCGAGUGGCGAACGGGUGAGUAACACGUGAGUAACCUGCCCUUGACUUCGGGAUAACUUCAGGAAACUGGGGCUAAUACCGGAUAGGAAUCCUUGCUGCAUGGUGGUGGUUGGAAAGCUUCGGCGGUUUUGGAUGGACUCGCGGCUUAUCAGCUUGUUGGUGGGGUAGUGGCUUACCAAGGCUUUGACGGGUAGCCGGCCUGAGAGGGCGACCGGCCACAUUGGGACUGAGAUACGGCCCAGACUCCUACGGGAGGCAGCAGUGGGGAAUAUUGCACAAUGGGCGGAAGCCUGAUGCAGCAACGCCGCGUGCGGGAUGACGGCCUUCGGGUUGGAAACCGCUUUCAGCAGGGGCGAAGCUUGUGGUGACGGUACCUGCAGAAGAAGCACCGGCUAACUACGUG
rnacentral:rRNA from 1 species